rnacentral:rRNA from 1 species
CCUACGGGAGGCAGCAGUAGGGAAUUUUCCACAAUGGGCGCAAGCCUGAUGGAGCAACACCGCGUGAGUGAAGAAGGGUUUCGGCUCGUAAAGCUCUGUUGUUGGAGAAGAACGUGCGUGAGAGUAACUGUUCACGCAGUGACGGUAUCCAACCAGAAAGUCACGGCUAACUACGUGCCAGCAGCCGCGGUAAUACGUAGGUGGCAAGCGUUAUCCGGUUUUAUUGGGCGUAAAGCGAGCGCAGGCGGUUGCUUAGGUCUGAUGUGAAAGCCUUCGGCUUAACCGAAGAAGUGCAUCGGAAACCGGGCAACUUGAGUGCAGAAGAGGACAGUGGAACUCCAUGUGUAGCGGUGGAAUGCGUAGAUAUAUGGAAGAACACCAGUGGCGAAGGCGGCUGUCUGGUCUGCAACUGACGCUGAGGCUCGAAAGCAUGGGUAGCGAACAGGAUUAGAUACCCCGGUAGUC